rnacentral:sRNA from 1 species
CCAGCUAAAAUAUCACGCUCCAGGGGCAGGUGGCUAUCCGCCAAAAAGCUCUGCACAAAGCAACCCGUCCUGUCUGGACCGGCUCUGCAUUGAAAGUGGAACCAGAUGACUUAGCUAUUUCCUUUUUUAAAAAAUUGACCAGCAGCGCUCACUGAUAGGACAUUGCAUCAAAAUAUGCAAAGACAGAGCCAGAAAGCUCAAGUGGUUUAGUGGUGUGAAUCGACACGGGCGGGCAUCUCUCUGGAAGAUGUUUAUGUGUUCUCCUGAGCUGACGUUUGGACUCCUGGCCUGACCUGAGAGUAAACUGCGAUGCCCUCUUUCUCUCCACUGCCAAGCAGCCCCCUGGACUCCUGACUGUAUCUUUUAAAUGUCUUCAUGUUUGGGCUGGGCAGGACCCUUCCUUGGGCAGCAGAUCCUGGGCUGGUACAAAAGGGAGUGAGUGAUCUGAACGCUCGCUGCCUUGCUUCUCUUCUGUCCCUGGUCCCUGCUCCUCGACUUCAGUGCAGUGUAACCCUAUCUGAUCCUCAAUGGAAGGUGAGCUUGAACUCCUAUCCAAAUAAACUGUGUCCUUUAGGUUGCUGUAUUCUAACACAGUCACAGGAAAAGAAAUAGACACCUGCUUCUAAAGGGAACACAGGGCCUCCUA